AGCAGCCGCGGUAAUUCCAGCUCCAAUAGCGUAUAUUAAAGUUGUUGCAGUUAAAAAGCUCGUAGUUGAAUUUCGGGGUUAGUAGGUUGGUCAUGCCACUGGUAUGUACUGGUCUCACUGAUUCCUCCUUCCUGAUGAACCGUAAUGCCAUUAAUUUGGUGUUGCGGGGAAACUGGACUGUUACUUUGAAAAAAUUAGAGUGUUUAAAGCAGGCUAACGCUUGAAUACAUUAGCAUGGAAUAAUGAAAUAGGACGUUCGAUCCUAUUUUGUUGGUUUCUAGGAUUGACGUAAUGAUUAAUAGGGAUAGUUGGGGGCAUUAGUAUUCAAUUGUCAGAGGUGAAAUUCUUGGAUUUAUUGAAGACUAACUACUGCGGAAGCAUUUGCCAAGGAUGUUUUCAUUAAUCAAGAACGAAAGUUAGGGGAUCGAAGACGAUCAGAUACCGUCGUAGUCUUAACCAUAAACUAUGCCGACUAGGGAUCGGAUGAUGUUAAUUUUUUAAUGACUCAUUCGGCGCCUUACG
rnacentral:rRNA from 1 species